UAGCCAUGAUGUGGGCAAGCACUUAAAAGUUCCUUAAACCUUUCCCAGCAUUGAAAGAAAGUUUCUUCCAAUUUUUGUGAAAAGUUCAGGAUGAUCCUUCUAAGGGU